UACGGGGGGGGCAAGCGUUGUUCGGAAUUACUGGGCGUAAAGGGCUCGUAGGCGGCCAACUAAGUCAGACGUGAAAUCCCUCGGCUUAACCGGGGAACUGCGUCUGAUACUGGUUGGCUUGAAUCCGGGAGAGGGAUGUGGAAUUCCAGGUGUAGCGGUGAAAUGCGUAGAUGUCGUAAGGAAGACCAGUGGCGAAGGCGGGUCUCUGGACAGUUCCUGACGCUGAGGCACGAAGGCCAGGGGAGCAAACGGG
rnacentral:rRNA from 1 species